UAACAUAACUGUUGUAAAGCAUUAGCGUA
rnacentral:piRNA from 1 species